GAUGAACGCUGGCGGCGUGCCUAAUACAUGCAAGUCGAGCGAAAGGAUGAGAAGUUUGCGUCUCUGAUGUUAGCGGCGGACGGGUGAGUAACACGUGGUUAACCUAUCUAUAAGACUGGGAUAACUACGGGAAACCGUAGCUAAUACCGGAUAAUUUUUUGAACUGCAUGGUUCACAAGUGAAAGACGGUCUUGCUUUCUCUUAUAGAUGGAUCCGCGCUUCAUUAGUUAGUUGGCGAGGUAACUGCUUACCAAGGCUACGAUGCAAAGACGACCUGAGAGGGUGAUCGGACAGACUGGAACUGAGACACGGCACAGACUCCUGCGGGAGGCAGCGGUAGCGAAUCUUCCGCGAUGGGCGAGUGCCUGACGUAGCAACGUCGCGUGAGUGAUGAUGCUCUUCGGACCGUAAAGCGCUGUUAUUCGGGGAGUACAUAUGUUUAAGUAACUGUGCACAUCUUGACGGUACCUGAGCAGAAAGCCACGGCUAACUACGUG
rnacentral:rRNA from 1 species